rnacentral:lncRNA from 10 species
GGGACAUUCCUAAAAAUAAGGAAGAAAGGGGCUGGGCAUGGUGAGCAAGCAUUCUAGAAACAAAGACAAGCACUUUCCAGUGCUGGGGCCUAAAAUGAAAGGGAAAGACAAACUUGGGCAGCUUCCCAGGCCAAAGGGCACUGGGAGUUCCCUAACCAAGCCACUCCCCAGCCCUGCCCAGGGCACUGGGCAAGGCUGAGCGGGCAGUGCCUGCCAAAACCCAGGCUUCAAGUCCAGACAGGCCAGGUGGUGUGAGUGUACAGUGACCUCGGUGCACCCAAUGCACCCGCUGGGCUCCCCUUCUGCAGGGAGGCCCUACAGACCCAAAAUUUCCUUCCCUCGGCAGUGCUCGCUAAGCCAUCGGUAAACAGGACUCCCCAGAAGAGGCUUUCCUCCCUGAGGAAGCAAAACAAAAAGGAAAGAACUAUCAACACAAAGUCAGCUGGGAGCCUCAGCCCUGACCUGGGGCCUGUGAAAAUACAGCUGUUUCUCCAACAGGCAGGGGUAUUACACUGGAAUGAGAUUCUCGUGUAUUAAUAACAAAGCUCUAGUCCUCCCUGCCUGCCACUAGCUGCGAAGCAAGGCGUUUCACCUCUUGGAGCCCCAGUUUCCUCAUCUAUAAAAUGGGAAUAACACUACCAUUUU